rnacentral:rRNA from 1 species
UACGUAGGGUGCAAGCGUUGUCCGGAAUUAUUGGGCGUAAAGAGCUCGUAGGCGGUCUGUCGCGUCGGCUGUGAAAUCCCGGGGCUCAACCCCGGGCCUGCAGUCGAUACGGGCAGACUAGAGUGCGGUAGGGGAGACUGGAAUUCCUGGUGUAGCGGUGAAGUGCGCAGAUAUCAGGAGGAACACCGGUGGCGAAGGCGGGUCUCUGGGCCGUAACUGACGCUGAGGAGCGAAAGCGUGGGGAGCAAACAGG